AAGAGAAGUGAACCUGAGCAUGUUUUAUCCUGCUAUUGGCCCUGCUCAAAAGAUCUUUCAAAACAUCAAGGGUCAGAAAAAAAAAUGUAUUUUUUUAGGGAUUUUUAUUGUCAAAGGCUCAGGGCAUAUUACUUAAAAUUUCUUCUGAUAGAGCACCCUUUAAAAAGAAAUCAUUUAAAACACACCAAGUUGUAAAUGUCAGGUUUUUAAAUGCCCACACAUCUUCUACUUUUCAUUUAGUGUGUCCUUCUUUUCUUAGUUAUCCUUAGAGUUUGAUCCUUGUCCCUUCCCCUUUUUCCUUUUUUGUGCUAUCCUUGGGUAACUUUACCUGCUGUUCUGGCUGCAACGUCCAUUUCUUUGCUGAUACUUACAGAUCGCAACCAUAAAUCUAAAUCCAACUCUGAACUUCUCCCUUGGCUUGUUCAUUUCUUCUGACCCCUCCUCUUUCUCUGCUUUUCCUGAGCCACCUGACUUAGUGCCUCUCUUCUCCUUCUUGUCUCUCGUCUUCAUACCUCUGUUUGUGCCACACUUUCCUGGUGGUCUAAUAUCUCUAUUUUUUU